GCAGUUCUAAUUGCUAAAUGACAUUACACCCAAGCCAAUUUCAAGAGGGAAAUUCUAAAAAAGUAUGAGAAUUUCUUCAAGCAUGGGGUUACAUUACAAAGUCCAAAUCACUACUCACAAAUGGAAAAGUAAAAGUGCCCAAGGGGACACCUGUAGGCAUCAAAAUCAUGGGAUAGCAAUUAAAAUUACAAGCAUGUAAUAAUUGUUCAUAAGUUAACCCAUGUUCUAAGUGUGCUACACAAUGCUAACACCGUGUUACAUUACUUGAGUCAAGAAAGAUUAAAGUUUUGAAUAAAGGGCGUCUAAUUUUUUAUCUUCAAUGUCCGGUCCAUUCCCGUUAAGUUGUGCAUCCACCUGUACAAGAUGUCUUAACCUGUCCAAAACCAAUUCAAAACCUGUCAGAAAUUCACAAUAAUAGUUUGCCUACACUAAUAGCGAACGUAAACAACAUUUGAGCAACAGUAUGAAUAACAUGUGAGCAACAGUGGAAGAUCAAUACAAACAUUUGGCAUCCUAUGGAAGUCGUGUAAUGUGACAGAGGCAUUUUCUGAAGACGAAGCCAUUAGCCAUGAAGACAUACGCAAUGACGACGUUGAUGAUAACUCAAUGCAUUAUUAAAGUAGCAGUUGGAAGAUAAUGAAGCGCCUACACAGGAAGAUAUUGAAGGUUGUGUUAACGUUUCGGCUGUGUUAAUGUUUCGGCUGUGUUGAUGUAUUUCAAAAAAAAAAUUGAUAACAAUGAAGUGGACUGAUCAGGCAACACUUCUGCUCCCUGUGACAUUAGGAACUUUAUAAAGAAAAAUUGGAAUAAGAUUGCAGAAACACUAAAUACGCAAGGUUUGGAUCCGCAGAUAAAAGAUUUUAGACUUAAAACAGGUACAGACAUGUUACAGCAUCAUGAUGCGUGAAGAAGAGACCUUGGUCCACAACUAUUCAUGCUGCCAUAAGUUAGUCUGUCUCGUUAACCAUGAACCUGCAAUACUAACAACGCCAAAAAUAACAAGUUGAAGAAAAAGUUACAGUGCAUAGGU
rnacentral:lncRNA from 1 species